rnacentral:lncRNA from 10 species
CUUCCAGGAACCAAUGUUCCCUGACUUCAUUUCAUUUUCAGGAGGGAGGCCUAGCCUACGUGAAAUAGAGGUUCUAGCAGACGUUGGGAUCCUAAGAGGUCUUCUAGCCACCUCUCCAGCAACUCCACAGAAGCUGGCCAUCUGGCUGCUGCUUUGCUAUUUGUGACUCCAUAAGAUAUAGAAUUAUGUUGUGAUAAUACUGUUUUCUGUGUGUAUAUAAAUUUUGGGUUUUUAGAAAACUGUGUGGCUAGGGUUGUCAGUUUACAUCACGCAUAAGGAUCACCAGGACAGUCAUUAAAAUAUAUAGAUUCCUACCAUCACUCACAGAAAUGUUCCUUCCUUGGAGUCAGGCCUAAGAACCUGGAUUGGAGGACUGCAUUUUGAAAAAGUUACUCUCAAGAUAUUUAUGUAGACAGGUCUUAAACAAUUUCUGUGUCAUCCAUGGUGGUUGACAGGGCUGAGCUUGGGGAAGAUGGCUGUCUUACAAAGACUCAUCAGAUCACUGAUUAAAAUAAAGUAGGAUCCUCCACUAAGCUGGUCUUCUGGGCCAACUUAUCUUCUACUGCAGAGUUCCAAACAUUCACCUGGAAUCCAAACAUUCAAUGACCUCUACAAAGCACAUCAGGAAAAUCCCUUAAAUUCCAAGCUAAUUGACAGAGAUUCCAGGGAUAGUUAGCAAAUACUUUUCUCUCCUCUAUUGAGAAAUAACAAGAACAAUAGUUUGGCUUUCAGCCUACCCAGCAAAUAUCACUCCACCAAGGUUCCCUGCAACUUUUCAGCCUCUUAAUACAACAUUUAGGGGAAUAGAGUUUCUCUAGAACAAAAUUCAAAGCAUAAAAGAGAAAAUUUUAUGUUACUUGGAGGCAGACCAUUCAGAUGUUUUGAGUUGAUUUGGCAUAGCUGAAAGAAUUUUCACACUUGCAAAAAUAUCAAAGUUCAUUUUUGGCCUCCAAAGAGCUGAAAUAUAGCUCUGUUUUCAAACUCUAAUGAAUUUGGCAUGAACACCAUUACUUGUAAUUAUUGUGUUUUUGGAAGACUAAAAAAAUGAAGUUUGAUCUAAUGUAAUAGCAGAUUUCAGAAUGCUGGAAUUAAAACAGUGCUAGACAUUACCUAGUCCAGUUCUAACUUUUAAAGUCGAGGAAGAUAACCCUUUGUCUUAUAUUUCUAAUUAACAAAAUAAUAAUGAAAACCACAGUUCCCAAGGGCUACUUUACUCCAGGUAUGAGAUUUAAGCAAAAUACAAAUGAAUUAGACAUAGGACAACAUAAUUUAAAGAACCUUUAGCACAGUCAGAUAUUCUAUGAAUGCAAGAUGAUAGAGAAUAUAAUAGAACAGAAAGAAUGUUAGAUUGGGAGACAGAAGGCAUGGGUUCAAUGUCCUGUCUUGGCCUUGUAGAAAUGUCAAGAUACUGGGCAUGUCAUGACUCAGCUUCAGCGUCUUCUGCAAAAUUGAGGUGAUAAUGUGGGCUGUUUUAAGAAUGAAGUUGAACGAUGUAUGUGAAAGUACAUAUUGUCCUAGUCUGUUUUCUGUUGCUACAAUAGAAUACCUGAGACUGGGUAAUUUAUAAAGAAAAGGUCUUUAUUUCGCUCAUAGCUCUGGAGGCUGGGAAGUUCAAGAUUGGGCAGCCAUAUUUGGUGGCUACUGGUGAGAGCUUUGUGCUAUAUCAAAAACAUGGCAGAGAAAUAGAAAGGGAACUGGGUGCAUAUGAAAAAAGGGCAAAACACAAGAACCAACCUCACUUUGUAACAACCUACUCUUGAGGGAACUCAUCCACUUGUACAAGAGCUAACACAUUCCCAGGAGAACUAAUCCAGCCUGGAGAGAAAGACAUUAAUUCAUCUUAAUGACCUAAUCAUCUUUCAAAGGCGUGACAUCCUAACAUCACCACAUUAGGGUUCAGGCUUCAAUACAAGUUUUGGUGGGGACAAACCAUAUUCAAACCAUAAGAAUAAUAAACUCUCAAAUUCUAUUAUCUCAUUGAUAAAACAACAUGCAUGGGGAUUACAUUCAGUUUGUCUGCUUAGAGUUAAAUCUUCGUAUCUCCUUGCUUUAGUUUCUUCUGCCUAAAUACCAGUCUGAAUCUUUUUUGAUCCUGCUUUUUUUAUGGCUUUUUUAUCUUCUUUGGUCCCACCCUGCCCAAAAGAGCAUUCCUUGGUCAAGUGAUGCCCAUAUCCAAUCUGGAUUCAGAAGAGGAGAAGCACAACCCUGCCUCUUCCCAUUCUGUCUCCCAGCAUCUACAUGGUUCUCCAACUCAUAGCACUUCCCUGGGUGUUUAUCAAACUGUAUUGAAGGAAAUAGAAUAGAAUAAAAAGAAACUGAAUUGAAUUCCUGAAAGUGAAUUCGACUCUUCCCUUCCUGAACUCUGGGCUGCCUUAAGGGAAGACCAACUAAGAGGGUCUCAUCUGAGUUUUACCCAUUGCUGAAGUAAAUUGGGAAACAAAUUUUCUUUUUGAAAAGAAAACUGAACUUUUCUCAGGUCUACUGUCUAUGUUGCCCAGCAGAAAAUGGUUCUCUUUCUUCUAGGAGGAAGUGCAUAGGUCUUCCACUUGGGUAAUGGUACUGAUUUGCCACAAUUUUUUUUUUUUUGCAAACUCUCAUUAUGGGCAAAAAAAAUCUUUAUUAUUAUUAUUUUACUCUGGUGGCUCUGAGGUUUUUCUAACAACCAUGAUGAGGAGGCUCUUAGAAAAAGAAGACAGCAACUUGGAGUAAUUGUUUUUCUGGUUUGCUUUUGUUGUCUAGUCUAGAAACUGUGGCUCUUGUCACAUUCCUAUCUGCUAGUCUGGGUCAACGCUCCCCAAAAGGAGGCUCUGAUUUAAGCAUUACCACAGUACAAACAGAGCUCAGCCAAACCUCCAGUGGCAGGUAUAAAACAUUGACUAUGUCUGAGUCAAAAAUGUUGCAAAAUGUAUAUAUGCCACAAAGAUGUAUCAGCUUUUCCAACUGGUCUGGGUUUAUGGCAACAAGGGCUGGGUAUCAGAUUGUGAUCUCUCCUUUGAGAUCUCAAGUCUUGACCUGUGGGUUGAACUCUUCCACCUUUUGGCAUACAUGGAAUAUUCUGAAAUGUUAUAGGAUGUCCUACAUGCUGGCAAUUCUCAUAGCCUCCUUAAGAUAAAGUCUUCCCACCGAGCUAGCUGCAGGAGUUUUUUUUGUUUGUUUUUUUUUGUUUGUUUGUUUGUUUGUUUUUGUACCCCAGUGGCACCUGGAACACCAUCAAAACAGAACUGCUUACUCCUCUGGGAAGGGGGCUGAAGCCAGGGAGCCAAGUGGUCUUGCUCAGCAGAUCCCACCCCCAUGGAGCCCAACAAACUAAGAUCAACUGGCUUGAAAUUCUCGCUGCCAGCACAGCAGUCUGAAGUUGACCUGGGAUCCUCAAGCUUGGUGGGGGUAGGGGGGCAUCUGCCAUUACAGAGGCUUGAGUAGGCAGUUUUCCCCUCACAGUGUAAACAAAGCUGCUGGGAAGUUCAAACUGGGUACGGAACCCACCGUAGUGCUGCAAAGCCACUCUAGUCAGAUUGCCUCUCUAGAUUCCUUCUCUCUG